rnacentral:miRNA from 1 species
UCUCGGACCAGGCUUCAUUCCC